CCCCUAGAUGUUCUGGGCCGCACGCGCGCUACACUGAACAGUUCAACAAGUCUUAACCUUGGCCGAUAGGUCUGGGUAAUCUUUGAACGCUGUUCGUGAUUGGGAUAGACCUUUGCAAUUAUGGGUCUUCAACGAGGAAUUCCUAGUAAACGCAAGUCAUCAGCUUGCAUUGAUUACGUCCCUGCCCUUUGUACACACCGCCCGUCGCACCUACCGAUUGGAUGGUCCGGUGAGGCCUCGGGAUUGUGGCCGGUGCAUUCAUUUGUGUCGGUUGCGAGAACUUGUCCAAACCUUAUCAUCUAGAGGAAGGUGAAGUCGUAACA
rnacentral:rRNA from 1 species